AGAUUGAACGCUGGCGGCAUGCCUUACACAUGCAAGUCGAACGGCAGCACGGGAGCAAUCCUGGUGGCGAGUGGCGAACGGGUGAGUAAUACAUCGGAACGUGCCCAAUCGUGGGGGAUAACGCAGCGAAAGCCGUGCUAAUACCGCAUAAGAUCUACGGAUGAAAGCAGGGGAUCGCAAGACCUUGCGCGAAUGGAGCGGCCGAUGGCAGAUUAGGUAGUUGGUGAGGUAAAGGCUCACCAAGCCUUCGAUCUGUAGCUGGUCUGAGAGGACGACCAGCCACACUGGGACUGGAGACACGGCCCAGACUCCGUACGGGAGCAGCAGUGGGGUAAUUUGGACAGUGGGACGAAAGCCUGAUCCAGCCAUCGCCGCGUGCGAGGAGUGAAGGCCGUUACGGGUUAGUAAACGUUGUACGUUUU
rnacentral:rRNA from 1 species